CCGGCGAUGUCCGAAUGGGGAAACCCAGUGCAAUUCGUUGCACUAUCGUUAACUGAAUACAUAGGUUAACGAGGCGAACCGGGGGAACUGAAACAUCUAAGUACCCCGAGGAAAAGAAAUCAACCGAGAUUCCCCCAGUAGCGGCGAGCGAACGGGGAGCAGCCCAGAGUCUGAAUCAGCUUGUGUGUUAGUGGAACGGUCUGGAAAGUCCGACGGUACAGGGUGAUAGUCCCGUACACCAAAAUGCACAGGCUGUGAACUCGAAGAGUAGGGCGGGACACGUGGUAUCCUGUCUGAAUAUGGGGGGACCAUCCUCCAAGGCUAAAUACUCCUGACUGACCGAUAGUGAACCAGUACCGUGAGGGAAAGGCGAAAAGAACCCCGGCGAGGGGAGUGAAAAAGAACCUGAAACCGUGUACGUACAAGCAGUGGGAGCACCUUCGGGUGUGACUGCGUACCUUUUGUAUAAUGGGUCAGCGACUUAUAUUCUGUAGCAAGGUUAACCGUAUAGGGGAGCCGCAGGGAAACCGAGUCUUAACUGGGCGUUAAGUUGCAGGGUAUAGACCCGAAACCCGGUGAUCUAGCCAUGGGCAGGUUGAAGGUUGGGUAACACUAACUGGAGGACCGAACCGACUAAUGUUGAAAAAUUAGCGGAUGACUUGUGGCUGGGGGUGAAAGGCCAAUCAAACCGGGAGAUAGCUGGUUCUCCCCGAAAGCUAUUUAGGUAGCGCCUCGUGAACUCAUCUUCGGGGGUAGAGCACUGUUUCGGCUAGGGGGUCAUCCCGACUUACCAACCCGAUGCAAACUACGAAUACCGAAGAAUGUUAUCACGGGAGACACACGGCGGGUGCUAACGUCCGUCGUGAAGAGGGAAACAACCCAGACCGCCAGCUAAGGUCCCAAAGUCAUGGUUAAGUGGGAAACGAUGUGGGAAGGCACAGACAGCCAGGAUGUUGGCUUAGAAGCAGCCAUCAUUUAAAGAAAGCGUAAUAGCUCACUGGUCGAGUCGGCCUGCGCGGAAGAUGUAACGGGGCUAAACCAUGCACCGAAGCUGCGGCAGCGACACUAUGUGUUGUUGGGUAGGGGAGCGUUCUGUAAGCCUGCGAAGGUGUGCUGUGAGGCAUGCUGGAGGUAUCAGAAGUGCGAAUGCUGACAUAAGUAACGAUAAAGCGGGUGAAAAGCCCGCUCGCCGGAAGACCAAGGGUUCCUGUCCAACGUUAAUCGGGGCAGGGUGAGUCGACCCCUAAGGCGAGGCCGAAAGGCGUAGUCGAUGGGAAACAGGUUAAUAUUCCUGUACUUGGUGUUACUGCGAAGGGGGGACGGAGAAGGCUAUGUUAGCCGGGCGACGGUUGUCCCGGUUUAAGCAUGUAGGCUGGUUAUCCAGGCAAAUCCGGAUAAUCAAGGCUGAGGUGUGAUGACGAGGCACUACGGUGCUGAAGUAACAAAUGCCCUGCUUCCAGGAAAAGCCUCUAAGCAUCAGGUAACAUCAAAUCGUACCCCAAACCGACACAGGUGGUCAGGUAGAGAAUACCAAGGCGCUUGAGAGAACUCGGGUGAAGGAACUAGGCAAAAUGGUGCCGUAACUUCGGGAGAAGGCACGCUGGUGUGUAGGUGAAGUCCCUGCGGAUGGAGCUGAGACCAGUCGAAGAUACCAGCUGGCUGCAACUGUUUAUUAAAAACACAGCACUGUGCAAACACGAAAGUGGACGUAUACGGUGUGACGCCUGCCCGGUGCCGGAAGGUUAAUUGAUGGGGUUAUCCGUAAGGAGAAGCUCUUGAUCGAAGCCCCGGUAAACGGCGGCCGUAACUAUAACGGUCCUAAGGUAGCGAAAUUCCUUGUCGGGUAAGUUCCGACCUGCACGAAUGGCGUAAUGAUGGCCAGGCUGUCUCCACCCGAGACUCAGUGAAAUUGAACUCGCUGUGAAGAUGCAGUGUACCCGCGGCAAGACGGAAAGACCCCGUGAACCUUUACUAUAGCUUGACACUGAACAUUGAGCCUUGAUGUGUAGGAUAGGUGGGAGGCUUUGAAGCGUGGACGCCAGUCUGCGUGGAGCCAACCUUGAAAUACCACCCUUUAAUGUUUGAUGUUCUAACGUUGGCCCCUUACCGGGGUUGCGGACAGUGUCUGGUGGGUAGUUUGACUGGGGCGGUCUCCUCCCAAAGCGUAACGGAGGAGCACGAAGGUUAGCUAAUCCUGGUCGGACAUCAGGAGGUUAGUGCAAUGGCAUAAGCUAGCUUGACUGCGAGCGUGACGGCGCGAGCAGGUGCGAAAGCAGGUCAUAGUGAUCCGGUGGUUCUGAAUGGAAGGGCCAUCGCUCAACGGAUAAAAGGUACUCCGGGGAUAACAGGCUGAUACCGCCCAAGAGUUCAUAUCGACGGCGGUGUUUGGCACCUCGAUGUCGGCUCAUCACAUCCUGGGGCUGAAGUAGGUCCCAAGGGUAUGGCUGUUCGCCAUUUAAAGUGGUACGCGAGCUGGGUUUAGAACGUCGUGAGACAGUUCGGUCCCUAUCUGCCGUGGGCGCUGGAGAAUUGAGGGGGGCUGCUCCUAGUACGAGAGGACCGGAGUGGACGCAUCACUGGUGUUCGGGUUGUCAUGCCAAUGGCACUGCCCGGUAGCUAAAUGCGGAAGAGAUAAGUGCUGAAAGCAUCUAAGCACGAAACUUGCCCCGAGAUGAGUUCUCCCUGAGACUUUAAGUCUCCUGAAGGAACGUU
rnacentral:rRNA from 1 species